rfam:Diplodia corticola strain CBS 112549 scaffold37, whole genome shotgun sequence.
GGUCGCUUAGCUCAGUUGGUUAGAGCGUGGUGCUAAUAUUGGCAAUCCUCCCAGAGGAUUCAAUGAUAACGCCAAGGUCGCGAGUUCGACCCUCGUAGUGACCA